AUUGAACGCUGGCGGAAUGCUUUACACAUGCAAGUCGAACGGCAGCACGGGGCAACCUGGUGGCGAGUGGCGAACGGGUGAGUAAUACAUCGGAACGUGCCCAAUCGUGGGGGAUAACGUAGCGAAAGUUACGCUAAUACCGCAUACGAUCUACGGAUGAAAGCGGGGGAUCGCAAGACCUCGUGAGAAUGGAGCGGCCGAUGUCAGAUUAGGUAGUUGGGGGGGUAAAGGCUCACCAAGCCAACGAUCUGUAGCUGGUCUGAGAGGACGACCAUCCCCACUGGGACUGAGACACGGCCCAGACUCCUGCGGGAGGCAGCAGUGGGGAAUUUUGGACAAUGGGCGCAAGCCUGAUCCAGCCAUUCCGCGUGCAGGAUGAGGGCCUUCGGGUUGUAAACUGCUUUUGUACGGAGCGAAACGGCUCUCUCUAAUACAGGGGGCUAAUGACGGUACCGUAAGAAUAAGCACCGGCUAACUACGUGCCAGCAGCCGCGGUAAAAC
rnacentral:rRNA from 1 species